rnacentral:rRNA from 1 species
CUGGGUUUGACAUGCACAGGGCGCGUCUAGAGAUAGGCGUUCCCUUGUGGCCUGUGUGCAGGUGGUGCAUGGCUGUCGUCAGCUCGUGUCGUGAGAUGUUGGGUUAAGUCCCGCAACGAGCGCAACCCUUAUCUUAUGUUGCCAGCGGGUAAUGCCGGGGACUCGUGAGAGACUGCCGGGGUCAACUCGGAGGAAGGUGGGGAUGACGUCAAGUCAUCAUGCCCCUUAUGUCCAGGGCUUCACACAUGCUACAAUGGCCGGUACAAAGGGCUGCGAUGCCGUAAGGUUAAGCGAAUCCUUUUAAAGCCGGUCUCAGUUCGGAUCGGGGUCUGCAACUCGACCCCGUGAAGUCGGAGUCGCUAGUAAUCGCAGAUCAGCAACGCUGCGGUGAAUACGUUCCC